rnacentral:lncRNA from 1 species
UUUAAUAGUCCCACUAAGAAGUAGAUUGAGGAAGCAGGGCUUUGGUGCUGAAUGAUUGCAUCUGGAAUUUUGUCCUCCCACAGGUAGAAGUAACAGCAAAUAGCAGAAGGAGGUGAAGUCUCAUGGAGGGCUGUACUGCAUCCUCAGUGUUAAUCUCUGGAGUGAACAUGAUCCCCUGGAGUCUGAGAAAAUUAUGAGGACUCUCCUAGCAAUGCUUAUGAACCAACCGAGACUACGCUUAACUUUUAGUGAUGAGCAUUUAAAUAAGUUUGGAAAAAAAUUUAGAAAAAGUGGUACAGCAGGCAAUGUGUGAAGCUAAGGA